rnacentral:rRNA from 1 species
UACGGGGGGUGCGAGCGUUGUCCGGAAUCACUGGGCGUAAAGGGUCCGUAGGCGGUUUUGUAAGUCAGUGGUGAAAGCCCAUCGCUCAACGGUGGAACGGCCAUUGAUACUGCAAGACUUGAAUUAUUAGGAAGUAACUAGAAUAUGUAGUGUAGCGGUGAAAUGCUUAGAGAUUACAUGGAAUACCAAUUGCGAAGGCAGGUUACUACUAAUUGAUUGACGCUGAUGGACGAAAGCGUGGGGAGCGAACAGG